rnacentral:lncRNA from 1 species
GGGCAGAAUCAAAAGUAAAAUCUGAUAAAAAUCAAUUGGAUACAUAAGCAUUGAUAUUUAAAAUGUAGAAACACAAUUCGAAACGGAAACAAUUUUUAUAUUGACGUAUGUAGUUGUGAGUUUUAGCCAAAAGUUAUUAGUUAAAUACACAAGUUGCAUAAUAGAAAAACCAUAUACAAAAAAGAAGAAGAUUAAGGCUUCUUUAACAAAUAGCAUUUUAUCUUUUUCAUCGUAUCAUCAUAUGAUGUAUAUAUUUAGUUAUGUAAUAAUUUGU